rnacentral:rRNA from 1 species
AACGAACGCUGGCGGCAUGCCUAACACAUGCAAGUCGAACGAGACCUUCGGGUCUUGGUGCGCACGGGUGCGUCAGGCGGGGGAAGCUGCACUUAGGUUCGGAAUACCUCCCCGAGGGGGGUGCUAAUACAGGAUAAUGUCUUCGGACCAAAGAUGUCUGGCCUUUGGAUGGGCGCGCGUUAGAUUUGCGAGUUGGUAGGGUAAAAGCCUACCAAGGCUACGUUCCAUAGCUGGUCUGGGAGGAGGACCAGCCACACUGGGACUGAGACCCGGCCGAGAGCGGUAGGCAGGGCAGAAGUGGGGAAUAUUGGACGCGGAGCGAAGGCCGAAUACAGCCGGGCCGGGUAAGUCAGGAAGGCCUUAGGAUUGUAAAGCUCUUUGAGACGGGAUGAGAGUGACGGUAACGGGAGAAUAAGCGCCGGCUAACUACGUG